UCACGCUGCCUUUGCCCGAAGUUUUUUUUCACCCUUCUUUAGCAUGCGACCAUGGGGAAAGUGACCACUCCUGCCCGUGGAGGCGGCCGGGGUGGCUCGGUGCCCAGGGAACGGCUGUAACUUCUGCGUGAACAUGGUACCUGUUGAAAACACGGAGGGCCCCAGUCUGCUGAACCUGAAGGGGAGAGCGGCGGAGGCGGAUGGCAGCGACAGAGCCAGUGGCCGGCAUCCUCCCCGGGCGAGAGGUUGUGGCCUGUUCACCCUCCUGUCGGCUGUCACUGCUGCCGUCAGUGGCCUCCUCAUGGGCUAUGAACUUGGGCUCAUUUCCGGGGCUCUUCUCCAGAUACGGACCUUGUUAGCGCUGACCUGCCACGAGCAGGAAAUGGUGGUGAGCUCCCUGCUCAUCGGAGCCUUGCUGGCCUCGCUCACUGGAGGGGUCCUGAUUGACAGGUUCGGCAGAAGGGCUGCCAUCAUCCUGUCGUCCUGCCUCCUCGGGCUCGGAAGCCUGGUCCUGAUCCUCAGUCUGUCGUAUCCCGUUCUUCUAGUGGGCCGCAUUGCUAUAGGGGUGUCCAUCUCCCUCUCUUCCAUUGCCACUUGUGUGUACAUCGCGGAGAUUGCCCCGCAGCACAGAAGAGGCCUUCUUGUGUCACUGAACGAGCUGAUGGUUGUCAUUGGCAUUCUGUUUGCCUACGUUUCCAAUUACGCCUUCGCCAGCAUUUCCCAGGGCUGGAAGUACAUGUUCGGCCUCGUCAUUCCCUUGGGAUUUCUACAGGCGAUCGCCAUGUACUUUCUUCCUCCGAGUCCCCGGUUUCUGGUGAUGAGAGGACACGAGGAAGCUGCUAGCCAUGUUCUCAGGAGGUUGAGAGCCAUCUCAGAUACGACGGAGGAACUCACGGUGAUCAAGUCUUCCCUGAAAGAUGAAUAUCAGUACAGUUUUUGGGAUCUGUUUCGUUCCAAGGACAACAUGAGGACCCGAAUAAUGAUAGGCCUAACACUGGUGUUUUUUGUACAAAUCACUGGCCAGCCAAAUAUAUUAUUCUAUGCAUCGACUGUUUUGAAGUCCGUUGGCUUCCAAAGCAACGAGGCGGCUAGCCUCGCCUCCACUGGGGUCGGGGUUGUCAAGGUCAUCGGUACCAUCCCGGCCACUCUUCUUGUAGACCACGUGGGGAGCAAAACCUUCCUCUGUGUCGGGUCCUCUGUGAUGGCAGCUUCAUUGGUGACCAUGGGCAUCGUGAAUCUCCACAUCCACAUGAACAUCACCAGUAUCUGCAGAAGCCAUAGCCCUGUCAACCAGUCCAUGGAGGAGUCUGUGUUUUAUGGACCAGGAAACCUGUCAGCCAGCAAUGACAUUGUUAGAGAGCCCUUUAAGGAGAUCAUGUCCCCCAGCAGAAGCUCACCAAUGCCCACGAGAAAUGACAUGGACAAGAGAAGGGAGAUGACCUCUGCAUCCUUACCAAACGCUGGACUGAGCCAGACUGAACGCCAGCUAGUCACAGACCCAGAGGACGUCCCAGCUUUUUUGAAAUGGCUGUCCUUAGCCAGCUUGCUUGUUUAUGUUGCUGCUUUUUCAAUUGGUCUAGGACCAAUGCCCUGGCUGCUGCUGAGCGAGAUUUUUCCUGGAGGAAUUCGCGGACGAGCCAUUGCCUUAACUUCCAUCAUGAACUGGGGCAUCAACCUCCUCAUCUCUCUGACAUUUUUGACUGUGACGGAUCACAUUGGCCUGCCAUGGGUGUGCUUCUUCUAUACAAUCAUGAGUCUGGCGUCCCUGGCCUUUGUUGUUGUGUUUAUACCUCAGACAAAGGGAUGCUCUUUGGAACAAAUAUCGACGGAGCUGGCAAAAGCGAACUAUGUGAAAAACAACAUUUGUUUUAUGAGUCAUCACCAAGAGGAAUUAGUGCCCAAACAGCUUCAGGAGAGAAAACCCCAGGAGCAGCUCUCGGAGUGUAAAAAGCUGUGUGAGAGGGGACAAGCCGGGCAGCUUUCUCCAGAGACCUAACGCCCUGAGGACCUCAUGGAGUUGAUGGAGGCUGAGAGCAGAGCGGAAGCGUGUCUCAGACUGCGCCCGUGCUCUCUCUUCAGUGGAAUGGAGCCAGUUUUAAAGAAACGCCCUGAAAUUACAAAGACGAUCUUUAAUCUCCACCCACCCCUAAAAGGAACCACAAAAGGUAGACGAGGUACAGGGUCCCAAGUAACCUCUUUCUUACUCUGAGCAGGAUAGCAGGCCAAAAAAAUACCGGCUGGUGCAGUAUUUCCAGCCUUUUUCACAGAGCAGCUUGUGAAAGACUAUGAACUAGCGAUGCGAUCAACUUUUACUUGAGGUCUGUGUGGACAGAGGCCAGCUGCAGCUUCAUGACUCAGACACAGGAGUGUUCCAAACACGAGCGUCCCGGCUUUCGCCCACUAAGACGCUCCUUGCACGAGGUCUUGUGUAGAAAAGCAUCAGGACGCAGUGUGGACAAUGGCACACCUUCUAGGUUAGGAUAGGCUCCUGGUGAGGAUCCUAGGUGAACUCCUCAUUACAGUUCAACGAGUAUGAAGAUGACACAGCUUAUUUUAUGAAUUAUGAACUACAAUGUAAUGCAAAAUAUCCUUUUACGAAUUUCAUAUUAGUAUUAUAAAAUAUUAAAAGAAACAAUUCUGCAAACAGCAGAGAGAAAUAAGUAUUUCCCCAUCCAUUUUUAAAAAUAUGAAUAGAAAAGGCAAUUUCAAAAUCCUGGGACCAUAUUUAUUUAGAAAUAGCUGUUAGUAAACCAUUAAAAGAGGAGCAGGCCAUUAAGUUAUUUACAGAUCUCUAAGCAAUUAGGUUUAAGCUGUUAAAUGAAGCUUCUAAAAUUCUCUCUUUGCAAGGCUUUCACAAUAACUCAACAGCGACCCAGUCUCCUGCAGCCCUUGCCUCCUCAGGACUGUCUCCACCUCAGGUGUGGCACAUAGGCCAUCAUGGUGCUGACUUUAGGUAGCUGCAGACGUGACAGAUGACAUUCAGUCACCAGGACAGCUCCCUCCCGGGGUUGUUCUCUAUGACGGAACAGAGAUGGCUGCUGUACCCGACACGGGUUUUCAAGGCAUUGCUCUCUUCCGUCUUUCUCCAGCUGAAUUGUCAGACUUGUUGAGGCAUUUUACCCAUAGAAUUUGGGUAUGACUGAAAAAUCUACAAUAAAGACUCUCAAACCACUUAAGUAGUAACCCAUCGGAUCACUAAUAUUACAAGCUAUGGAAGACACACAACUUAAAACUAUGAGCAAUUUAACUUGAAAAAGGAUACAAAAUAUGAUUAACCUGAAGAAAAGAGCAUCCUGAGAGUCAAAAAUCCUUUCUUUUUUAGCUUGGAAUUUUCCUAUUAGCCAGUAACAAACUGCCCCAGUUUGAUAUAAGGCUGCCUGCCCCACUACAUUUCCUUAUGACAGAGUAAUGAGACUACAGUCUAUGCAGGCAACAGUGGAACUAUCAUCAGAGACUCAGGAGAAUGACUGCCAGUCUUGCCUCUGAAAUGUGCCGUCUAGACUGAAAUCGGUGGGGCAGUUACGAGGAGAGGAGAUCUGAGAUCGUAGUUCUGCUGCAGUGCAUUUCCUCAGCAAGUCUGAGCACGAAUUGUUUUCUGUUCAUUUGUUGGUUUUAGAAGGAGAAAAGAAAGUGUGUUCUGUAGAGGAUUAGAAGUUUAUUACAAAUCGUCGGUAGAAUUAUAUGCUGAGAUUCAAAAAGAAAAAUCAAGACAGAUAAUCAAUAUGCAUUUUUUUCUUUCCCAAGCAUCACAGAUUGUAAGGUAUUUAAGAAGAUUGUUACAUUUCCUUCGAAGUUCAAACACUAUAUACACUUUAGCUAGUUUUUGGCUUAGUCAUUCAUUGUAAAUGGGCAGGAAAUUGAUUAUAACCCUAGUAGGUUUAUCAGUAAUGAUUUCAGUGUCUUCAACACUCAUAUUUUUCUUUUAUCCUCAGUCUAAAACUAAACAAUUGUCUUCACACUAAUUUUAACCCAAAACACUCCCAAUCAGAGCUUUUUGAGUUCAAAAACAAAAAAUGGAAAUACUUAUAAUUUGUAUGUAUAUAUUCACAGUUUUAUUUAUAAAAAAUUUACAGCACUUGUGAAAAGCCAGCAGAAAACACCCGACAUGCUCCUCUCUCCCCAGGUUUAAGUUUUGGGGUCACCAACGACCCUUUGCACGCAAUGCUCACACUGCAGCCCUGAACCCAGACCAGAUUGUCUUUCUUCCUCGGUUCUGAGGAAGCAUUUUGCUGAGCUCCUGAUCUACCUGUUACGAGAUCUGGAUCUGCACCUUGCCAUAUCAUCAUGUUUCUGCCCCCUUUCUAUAUUUCUUCUUUGUGAACAUUGCAAAACAGGAGGUCACUUAUUACUGUUAAUUAAAACUAAGUGGAAAAUAUCAAAUUUUUAAAACAGUCUACCUAGUACCUAUAACUACUUCACUGAAUUUUAUUCUCUAUAUCUAAUGUGGCUACCUAUCCUACUGGAUCUUGAAAUGAAGCUAAUAAACACAAAUGUAAAAAAAGAACAGAAGUCUGAAAAUCACAAUUAAGUCUUUCACAAGAAAGAAAAUAUAAGUUCGCCUUUGCCCCUCACUUAGGAGGGAGUGAGAGGCGGGGGAGGGGAAGGCAUCGAGAAGAAGAUAAAAACAAACAUAAAAUAUUAGGUACUGUUCAGUGCAGUGCUUAGGCUAGGUUUCAAGAUUUUAUAAUACGGGAAGGAAAACAGAAACAGUGCUGGAACAUGGAGGUUAAGAUGUUGCAAUUUUCCAACAGGUUUCCAAACUUUUUGGGAAUUCAGGUAUUAGUGGAAGAUCGUGUUGCAACACUGUCUCCAUUAAGUCGUAACUGAGAGCUAACUGGACUCUACACUCAGCUUGACUCUACACUCAGCUUUAUUCCUCGGUGAAACCACUGCCGCUGACACUAACCUCCUACAUGCGCAUCGGAGCACAGCUGCGGCUGAUCCUGCGUUCCCACUCCGGGGCUCAGGGGUGGGCCAGAGGCGCUGUUUCACAAAUGCACAUUUCUUAUGACCUUAGGAGUAGCAAUCCCAUAUACCGAAUAGUCACUCUACAGCUCCAUCAAAUAAGACACAGCAAGGGAAAGGACAUAUCUUGCAAAAUGGCUUUCAAGUUCAAGUUGAACUCUAUUAUAAUUAUCCUGUGGCACAGAGGCAGCUUGUGGGCACUUCUUGUAAAACAGCACAAUGCAUCAGCUUCUGACAAGGCGCAUAUUAGAGCCUUGAGCACCAGCCUGACAUCACGACCUUCCUACAACCAGAGCUGAGUCCUUCCAGAGCAACACAGGCGCAUCCGAGGCACAACCCGGCACAGCUUCUUCCUCACAUCCAUCUCGUAGGUAUCUGGAGCCAGCCCUGAUGGCCUAGUGGGUCAAGUUCCACGCCCUCUGCUUCACCGGCCUGGGUUCGCUUCCCAGUUGUGGAACACACACCCCCCCCCCCCCCCCCGCCCCCCGCCCGGCCGCGUCAUCAGCUGCCAUACUGUGGUGGCAGCUCACACAGAAGGACUUACAACUAGGAUAUACAACCAUGUCCUGGAGCUCUGGGGAGGAAAGAAAUAAAUUAAAUUAAAUACAGGUAUCUUUCACUAUCUGAACUCAGUAACAACCAGGUUUGGAGGAAGUUUCAGAUGACUCCCUCAAUAUCUGGAAUCUUGCCACAGGAACAAACAAAUGUGGACAAUCUAUUCUGAGGUACAGAAUAGAUUUGGAUAGUAGGAAUAACUGUAUUUUAAGACAAAAAGUGCCAUAUUAUUGCUUUAUCUCCUAACAAUUGUUAAAUGUGGGUGAUAGAUAUAUGGGUGCUCAUUAUACUACCCUCCCUAUGUUUCUGUCUGAAAAUUUCCAUCCUAGUUUUUAAAAGCUGUGAAGAAAAACACUUUUCUUCACAACAGGUCACACUGAGGCAACAGAGCGUUUUAAUUAUAUUACUUAAAAAAACACAGAAACCCAGGUUAGAUAGGAGUGUCCAGAGCAAAGGAAGUAGUAACAGCCUCUUUGCUAUUGAAACAUGUAGAAUAUCCUGACCUUAUCAUUUAGAGAGGGCACUGAUAUCCAGCUAUCCAGAGGAAAGUCAGAUGGUAUGAGAUAUAAAAAUAGCUGUGUGAGAAAAGUCUCAGGAUAUUUAGCAGAAGAAAGGAAUGACAGUUGUUCUCAAAUAUAUAAAUACAAAGGAAACUGAAAGAUCCCAGUAAAGUCACAUGGAAGUGGAUCCCAUGAAACCACACCCAAACCCGAAGACGUGCAAAGCAGUGGGCUGCAGAGAAGAUGAGUGUCAACAAGGGGGCGGAGGACUGGCCACUCAGCCAACAGUCAGGGCCCUGCAGAAGGAGCCAUCCAUUCGGGCGGAGAAGAGACUAGAUGGUUUCUAAUACCCCAUCCAAUUCUCCAAUCCCAGGACUCUAACAUCCUAGGUGAAGACAUACGGUAGACACACUUCGGAAUUUUUCUAUUUUAAUUGCAGAACUAUUAUGUUAGUGCAGUUAAAGCAACAUCCCAAUUCUGAACUGCCCACCUUCCCUUCAACGUGCAUUUGGGUUCGAAGGAGCAGCAGCGGGAGUUAGACGCACUCAAGGACAACAGCACAGGCAGAUCCAACCCGCGAAACCGGUCCCCUGGGGGGCGGGCUGACAUCAGAUCGUGAGGACGUUCCGUGCAUGGCCCAAGAGCUUAGACUUCAGGAGCCAGUCCUCGGUGUCAGCAUUUUUGUAUUCUAGCCACAUGAAGAAAAUUUUAUCAACAGUAUGCCGGGCAACAAAAGCCUUUGUAUUUUUCAAAGAAAAGGAUUAUAUAUUGUACCACCCAAAUUAUAUAAAAUAUUAGCAAAUGCUUAAGUAAAAGCGAAAGUAUCUGAUGUACAAAACCAUCAUUACAUUAAGUCAAACACACAGUUAAAUAAUAUUGAUUACAUAUGUCUCCACCUAUCUCUGACUCAAAUAUCAGUUCUGAAGACUUGUAAGCACGUUGUUCAUGUGAAUAACUUGCGUCAAAAGGAAUUAAAGAAUCUAUAUUAUGAGAACUACAAAAAUACUGUGUUUUUAUGGAAAUUAAUUAACAACCCUGAGGGUGGCCAGCAACUAUCUAUUAAAAAAAAAACGGUAAGAAGGAGUAUAUUUUAUGCUUCAGUUGAUAAAAAUAUUUAUAAUGGUGCCCAAAAGGUGGAAGAAAGAUUUAAAUGAUGCAGAUUUUCUGAAUGAGUGCUUAAGGAAAGAUAAGUCAAUGGUUUACAUGCUCAUGAAAAAGUUCCAGUUGAAAAAAUGUUUUGCAAUUUAAAAAGACAUAAUCUAAUACCUAUCCCCUAUUAACAACGUUUAAACAGUAGCCUACUUAAUAAUUUCACUACUUCAACAUGUACUAAAAAGUACUUAGAAAGUAAGGAACUUGGAUGUUCAGACCCGGAUCCUCACGGGAGCUGUGUGAUGGUGGGCUGGCUCCCCUUACUUGUGAAAUGCAGACACCACCACUCACUCCCCACAUGACUGUUUGGAAAGACUAACGAGCACGUCACAAUUAUAACAUGCUCUAUUCAAGUAAUGCCAUGUUAGUCAAUGCUCACAGACUAUUAAUCUUAACCACUGCACUAUCACAGACAACAAGAGAAAAAAGUGUAUUUUACCGAACACAGCUUGAAAUUUGGGGAUUCAAAGUUGAGAAAUUUGGAGUAUCGAUUCCAUAUCAUGAAAAAGCAAUAUUUAUUUUAAAUAGAUUUCUUAUUAUUUCAAAUAAACGAUCUUAAUGUAUGAUUUUUAAAGAAGACAGCACAUCAUUUUCUGACUACAUGAGAAAUACUCAAGGAAAAAAAAUUCACCCACACUCCUACCACAGCGAUAAUUACUAAGUUUUUUCUGUGCUUUGAUAGGCACACGUUUUGAGGCUGCUAAAACGUGCAUAUUAAUCCAGAUUGGGAUCAUAUGCUGUUGUAUCUAGUCAACAAAGGACUUUGUUAAAAAUCUUGACAACCUGAGAUAUGAAAAAGAACAAAAUUGAAUUAACUGAUUUUCCUUGAAUACUAAUGAAAAUGAACUUUUCAAAUAUUACUAACUACCUGUAUUUAUUCUAUGUUAACUGUCAUAUUCUUUGUUCAUUUUCCUUCUGAGAUAUCUUACCGAUUUAUAAAAGCUUUUCUCUAUAAAGAAUAUUGGCCUUUUGCCUCUUCUGCUGUUCCUCCUGCUAAAAUGAUCUAUCCCCUGCUCCUACACCUGGCUCACUCCGCCUUGUUCUACAGCUCAGCGCCACCCUCAGCCAGUCAAUUCUGUGACAAUGAAUUGGAAAUCUAAGUGUUAGGCCCCGCCCUAGAGAUGGGGGUCCAGCAGUGAACAAGAGCUGGCGGGGGACAGCAGGUGCUUUCAGCUCUGAUGUGAGGUCAGAGCACGAACUGUUCAGGCCUGAAUAAGGGCCCGCAUGGUCAGAGUGGAGAGAGUGAACGGAAAAGGGCACGAGACGAGGCUGCAGAUGCACGGGGGGCUCAAAGCACGUGGUCCAGGGCACGUUAGGGAGUUUCAUAUUCAUCCCAAGAGCAAGAGAAGCAAGAGAUGACACGAUGUACUUGCUUUUUAAAUCUAUCACUGCCACUUCUGUAACAGGAGAAUGGACUGGAAGAAUGGGCAGGACACUCAGGGCCGAGUGUGGCAGGGCUGGUGAGAGACGACAGCAGUGCGGGCCAGGGCGGAUGAACAUGGAAAGAUGGAGACAGAGGGAGACACUUCAGGAGACAGAGUGGACAGAGCUUUGUGACUGACAUGGGGAAGAGCAGAGGGGAGACGGAGGAAGACUCCAGGUCUGUGGCCUAAGGUACGAUUUACUGGGGCAGGACACGGGAGGGAGGGCAGGUUUGCAGCAGAGACUGGAGAGGAGGAGGGUAAGGAUUCUGCUGUGGAUGUGCUGAGCUGAAGGAACCUGUGAGGCCCUGGGAGGAAACCCAGAGCAGAGGCUCAGACAAGAGUCACCGCCCAGGACAGGGCCAGGUCUAGACUGGAGGUAAAAACUCGGAAACCUCAGUACAGAAGGUACUCACAGCCAUGACAGUAAAAUAUGAAAUCAAAGGCACUAAGACAUCCGAACCCCAACCCCAAGACUGAGCAAGAGCGCCCCUACUCUGAGCCCCGCUGCCGCCCUGCUACACACAGCACGCUACAGGAAACUUCCUGGUUAUAUACGCCUCCUGGGUAGACAUUAAGCUCCUCAGAUGCAUGAUCAAAUCUUACUUAUUUCUGUACCCAAGCCUUGGCAUAGUUCCCAAGGCACUAAACAUUCA